AGAUUCUGUCGCUUCGAAGCUGGCAUCAUGGUCCUGAUACUGGUGUCAAGAUAAAUAUAGAUUAUAUUUGUGGAAUAACAGCGCAAUGCCUUAGUGAUUCCAUUUCUGAAGAUAAUUUCCUUUUAUCAACUGAUAUCCAUUGUGCACAACGAUGUAAUUUCAAGAAUUCAAAGCUAAGCAUACCAUUCGUUUUGUUCAAGAUUGCUCACAAUUGUUUGAUAUUGAAAAGGUAAAGAGUAAGGUGAAGGUAGUUAUUAGAACACAAGGUUGAAAUAUCGACGAAGUACAAUCAGCCCUGAAGUGUUUACUGUUCCUUGGAUCCUGUAUUUAACAAAUAGAUAAGAUUUUGCCGUUGUCUGUUCAGUUAUAGAUGCACAGUAUGACGUCAUAAUGUGGGAAGAAUAAAAAAGUGGCUCACGAGCGGCCGAGGCGAGAUUAUGAUGUCAUACUGUGUAUCUAAAACUGAACAGACAACGGCAAAAUCUUAUCUAUUUGUUUCAAAUAAUAAAAAGAAAAACCCCAAAUUAGACAGGUAAAUAGCUUACUUUUUAUCCACCCAAACAUUUGGAAAUUUGAAAAAGUCGACAUUUUAAAAAUAUCACGCGUACAUGAUCUAUACAAUAAGGGAACUGUUACGUCACGUGUGACGUAAUUCCGUGCGUCUGUCCUUUAAUAGAUCAUGGCUCUCGCCCAAUGAAAGCGCUUGAAUUCUUAACGUUAUUAUAUAAUUUCCUUUUUGAAAUCUUCCUCAAAAAUGCGCAAAAACAAUGGAAAAUUUGACCAUAUAUUACUCCGACCAUUAUGUAUGUAACAAUACUCAACAGAGUAUUGGGCUCUUGCAAGUGACCACGACACGUAUUUGUUGGCGUCGGCCUUUUUUGGUGGAAAAUUAAAAAUAGUUGAUUAAAAGCAAACAUGACGCGAAAGCAAGACUGUGGCACUAACUGCGGCUGUUGCUUUUGUUUGAGCACUUUGAAGUGUUAUAAUGGUCCACAGCUGUGUAGUAGUCGGUUGAAUAAAAGAUUUUUGCCACCCAAAAUGGCGGAUUAUUUUUGAUGAUACAUACUGCAAGACCUGAAUACUUGACUGUAUUUAUGGUACAUAUUGAUAUUAUAAUGAUUCCUUGAAAUCUCCCAUAAGGUAUGUGUGAAAAUUGAAAAUGUUCCUUUAACUUCUUGCUAAGGCACAUGUUCUCCAGGAUCCCGAGAUCCAACUUUUUUCAGGCAAUAUAUAAGUCAUUUUCUAAGUUACAGUAUAUGCAAAAAUCUGAACCGUUGAUCAUCGUCACUUUUGUGUUGUACUUUCGGCCAACUAACCAAUAAUAAGGAUUCGGAUUGGUCAGAAUUGACUAACUAUAUA
rnacentral:lncRNA from 1 species